CGGGCUUAAUUUGACUCAACACGGGGAACCUCAUCAGGCCAGGACACCGGAAGGAUUGACAGAUUGAGAGCUCUUUCUUGAUUCGGUGGGUGGUGGUGCAUGGCCGUUCUUAGUUCGUGGAGUGAUUUGUCUGCUUAAUUGCGAUAACGAACGAGAUCCUACCCUACUAACUAGUCGAAACCGGCAUCCCCUGUGCAGCCGGCGACCAACACUCUUCUUAGAGGGACAGGCGGCUUCCAGCCGCAGGAAGUGGGGCAAUAACAGGUCUGUAAUGCCCUUAGAUGUUCUGGGCAGCACGCGCGCUACACUGAAGGGAUCAACGUGUGUUUUCCUUGCUCGAGAGGGCCGGGUAACCCGUUGAAACUCCUUCGUGCUAGGGAUUGGGGCUUGCAAUUAUUCCCCACCAACGAGGAAUGCCUAGUAAGCGGGAAUCAUUACUUCCUGCGAUAAGUACGUCCCC
rnacentral:rRNA from 1 species